GUGAGGAAUUUUCCGCAAUGGGCGAAAGCCUGACGGAGCAAUGCCGCGUGAAUGAUGAAGGUCUUAGGAUUGUAAAAUUCUUUCACCGGGGACGAUAAUGACGGUACCCGGAGAAGAAGCUCCGGCUAACUUCGUGCCAGCAGCCGCGGUAAUACGAAGGGGGCUAGCGUUGCUCGGAAUUACUGGGCGUAAAGGGCGCGUAGGCGGACAGCUUAGUCAGAGGUGAAAGCCCAGGGCUCAACCUUGGAAUUGCCUUUGAUACUGGCUGUCUUGAGUUUGGGAGAGGUGAGUGGAACUCCGAGUGUAGAGGUGAAAUUCGUAGAUAUUCGGAAGAACACCAGUGGCGAAGGCGACUCACUGGCCCAAUACUGACGCUGAGGCGCGAAAGCGUGGGGAGCAAACAGGAUUAGAUACCCGGGUAGUCC
rnacentral:rRNA from 1 species